UGUUAAAUAAGAUCUUUCUACAUGACAGAGUUUAGACAGAGUGAAGGGAGUGAAGAGGUGGAAGCAGUUCUUCUGUCAUUCAAUAUUUUUCUUGAUUAGCAUCAAAUUCAUAAUGAAUAUCCAUCAUGUUCUGGUCUUCUGCUUCUUAUCAGGUACAACUGGGUUUGUUAAAGCCAGCAUUUGGAUUGUACCUGAAGGAGGGAAUGUAUCACUAUAUAAUUACUUCACUGUGUCUGGAAACACAAAGUUCUUCUGUAAGGAAAAAUGUGAGCGAGCAGAAAACAUCCUCAUUAAAACAGAUGGAACCACAGCUCAGAGCGGCAGAUUCAGCAUUGAAUACAAAAAUGCAUCUUCAGGAAGAGGAGAGCUGACUAUGAAAAUCACACAUACGACCAAGUCUGACUCAAGAAUGUACCGGUUUGGUUUGGGUAAAUCUUCAGCUCCAGAUUCGUACUCAGAUCUUGAGGUCAGAGUUUCAAAUGAAUUUGAUAAAAGCUCUAGAAUCUUCCGUGCGCAGACUGAGGGAGAAGAAAUCUCAUUUGGAUGUGCCAAUGCUGUCCAUGGACAGAGGAAGUUCCUUUGUAAGAAUCUGUGUGAAAAAGAAGGAAAUAUUUUCAUUGACACAACUAAUGACAAAGCUGAGAAUGGCAGGUACAGUAUCGAAUACACAAAAGGAUCUGCGUUUGGACUGUAUGCAACCAUCAGACAGCUGACCAAGUCUGACACGGGACAGUACUGGUGUGGUUACGGCGACCCUUUGUCUCCUGAUUCAUACCACACUGAAAAUAUUUUUGUCGUAGGGG
ensembl:lncRNA